CUCCAGCCCCGCUCUCUAGUCCUUGCUCUUCUUUGGCUUGGCCUUUCAUCCUCUCAAUUCCAAGAAGUAAGAAGAGAUUAUCCUCUUAGAAACCCUACUUUUCUCUAUCAAUUGGAUCAGAGGUGCAGGAUUGGAAGUAAUAGAUGGAAACUGGAUUUGUGUAUCUUGUAGGGACUAAUAAAGCUAUCAAUUCAGGAGUUUUCUGGAGUUCUCAAUUAUUUGGCCACAACAGUUGUCUGAAAUAUCCUUCCACUCGUCCAUUGACUGGUUACCAUGGCCUAUCAUAUUUAGUUAUAUUUAUUUAGCAUGUAUAUCGUGAUUAUACGUGCUGUGCAAAGAUUAUUAAGGCAAUUUGUAAGUUGAAAAUCAAUAGUUUCAUUUGUUUUUUAAAAAAUAUAAGCCAUAAAAAUUAAAAUACUAACUAGAACUUGAGGCAUGGAGUGCUGCACAUAAGUAGAUGUUGUUAUGAAGAGGCAAAGAAGACACCAGUCUUUUCAACAAAAAUAUGUAAUUGGAACUCAAUUUUAUAUAUAUAUAUAUAUAUAUA